GUAGAUAUAUUCGAGGAACACCAAAGGCGAAAGCAAGUUUCUAGGAUAUAAUUGACGCUGAGGCUUGAAAGCGUGGGGAGCAAAUGGGAUUAGAUACCCCAGUAGUCCACGCCGUAAACGAUGGGUAUUUGGUAUUUGGGCUGGACCUGAGUGCCGGAGCUAACGCGUUAAAUGCCCCGCCUGGGUAGUAUAUAUGCAAAUAUGAAACUCAAAGAAAUUGACGGGGAUCUGAACAAGUGGUGGAGCAUGUUGCUUAAUUCGAUAAUACACGAAAAACCUUACCAAGGCUUGUAAUCUUCU
rnacentral:rRNA from 1 species